rnacentral:tRNA from 1 species
CUUAGAAUGGCAGAUUUAUGCUUAAAAUUUAGAAUUUUAAUAUGGUGAUUCACCUUCUAAGA